rnacentral:rRNA from 1 species
CGGGUGCGAGUAAAGUGGCGGACGGGUGAGUAACGCGCGGGAAUCUGCCUAGUAGUGGGGGACAACUCGAGGAAACUCGAGCUAAUACCGCAUACGCCCUACGGGGGAAAGGCUUCGGCCGCUAUUAGAUGAGCCCGCGUAAGAUUAGCUUGUUGGUGGGGUAAUGGCCUACCAAGGCGACGAUCUUUAGCUGGUCUGAGAGGACGAUCAGCCACACUGGGACUGAGACACGGCCCAG